rnacentral:rRNA from 1 species
GACGAACGCUGGCGGCGUGCUUAACACAUGCAAGUCGAACGGAAAGGCCCUGCUUUUGUGGUGUUCUCGAGGGGCGAACGGGUGUGUAACACGUGAGUAACGUGCCCUUCUUUUUGGUAUAACUUCAGGAAAGUGGGGCUAAUACCGUAUAGGAGCUCCUGCUGCGUGGUGGGGGUUGGAAAUUUUCGGCGGGUGGGGAUGGACUCGCGGCUUAUCAGCUUGUUGGUGGGGUAGUGGAUUACCAAGUCUUUGACGGGUAGCCGGCCUGAGAGGGUGAACGGCGACAUUGGGACUGAGAGAGGGCGCAGACUGGUACGGGAGGCAGUAGUGGGGACUCUUGCACAGUGAGCCGGAGCCUGAUGCAGCAACGCCGCGUGCGGGAUGACGGCCUUCGGGUUGUAAACCGCUUUCGGCUGUGACGAAGCGGGAGUGACGGUAAUGGGUGAAGAAGCACCGGCUAACUACGUG